UACGGAGGGUGCAAGCGUUAUCCGGAUUCACUGGGUUUAAAGGGUGCGUAGGUGGGCAGGUAAGUCAGUGGUGAAAUCUCCGGGCUUAACCCGGAAACUGCCGUUGAUACUAUUUGUCUUGAAUAUUGUGGAGGUAAGCGGAAUAUGUCAUGUAGCGGUGAAAUGCUUAGAUAUGACAUAGAACACCAAUUGCGAAGGCAGCUUACUACACAAUGAUUGACACUGAGGUACGAAAGCGUGGGGAUCAAACAGG
rnacentral:rRNA from 1 species